GGUUUUGUUUCAAUUUUCUCCCCUCCCCCGCAUUCUUCUUCGUUUCUACUCUUAGAAAUCCUUCCCCCUCCUUCUCUCGUGUUCUCUCCUCUACUCUCCCAGCUCGUGUCCUUUUACCGGCCUCACCCUCUGCCCGCCCCGUGUGUCUCCAUCACUCCGGAACUGUGUGGCUCCAUCACGCCGGCACCGGGUGACAAAUAUUCUCCUCUGGGUUCGCCAUUUCUGUAUGGCUUGUCCAGCUUGACCAUUUCCGCACGGCAUCAAUCCUCCGCCGGUAUUGUAGCUACCGAGAGCCACCGUAUGUUGUCUUGCAAGGUUAUUGAAUAAAUUGUGUGAUGGGCGAAGAGGAAGAUGGAAGGCCACCCAGGCCUUCUACAUCGAUUUCACUCACCCAGGGAUAUUAUGGAACUAUAAAUCCAUAUAACCUGCCAUAUAUGAUGCCUCCAAAUCCAUAUCCAUAUCCAUAUCCACAUCCAAAUCCGUAUGCUUGGGGUAGUCAGCAUCUGGUACUGCCACCCUUUGGACCAACCAUGCCAUCCCCUCUGUUGAGUAAUCUGGAGGAGUUGAGACGAGGUGAAGAUACAACCAAGCAAUCGGUGAUGCCACCAUGUGUGCCAACUAUGCCCUACCCACAUAGCGCAAGUGAGUCAUCAACUAUGCCAUCCAAUUCCGUAGCUGAAAAGAAUUUUGGAGAAACAUAUCCGCAUCCAUAUUCAUAUGCUUGGGGUAGCCAGCAUCUGGCACCGCCACCCUUUGGACCAACCAUGCCAUCCCCUCUGUCGAGUAAUCCGGAGGAGUUGAGACGAGAUGAAGAUACAACCAAGCAUUAGGCGAUGCCACCACGUGUGCCAACUAUGCCAUCCAAUUCUGUAGCUGAAAAUAAUUUAGAAGAAACUUCAUCCGACAUAAAUAUAGAGCCAGAUGCAGAGGGGAUGAAUGAAGUAUCAAAUGAUGAUAAUAGAGUUGAGCCUCCAAAAUCUGGUAUGCACUUUGCUACUGAUAAAGAGGUUUUAGACUACUACAAAAGAUACGCCAAACAAGAGGGUUUUGGUGUUAUCAUAAGAAGAACGAAGAGAAAUCUGGAUGGGGGUGCGAAGUAUGUGACGAUUGGCUGUGCACGUGGCGGCAGGUAUUAUCCUAGCCACAGUAAUUUAUCAAAGCCACGACCAACGACAAAAACUGAUUGUAAGGCAAAGAUAAAUGCUCGCUUUGUGAAUGGGGUAUGGGUGUUGACCAAUGUUGAUCUUGUUCACAAUCAUAGUACAGUUAGCCUAC